rnacentral:rRNA from 1 species
AUUGAACGCUGGCGGCAGGCCUAACACAUGCAAGUCGAACGAGUGGCGGACGGGUGAGUAAUGUCUGGGAAACUGCCUGAUGGAGGGGGAUAACUACUGGAAACGGUAGCUAAUACCGCAUACCAUCAGAUGUGCCCAGAUGGGAUUAGCUAGUAGGUGGGGUAACGGCUCACCGAGGCGACGAUACCUAGCUGGUCUGAGAGGAUGACCAGCCACACUGGAACUGAGACACGGUCCAGACUCCGACGGGAGGCAGCAGUGGGGAAUAUUGCACAAUGGGCGAAAGCCUGAUGCAGCCAUGCCGCGUGUAUGAAGAAGGCCUUCGGGUUGUAAAGUACUUUCAGCGGGGAGGCGUUACCCGCAGAAGAAGCACCGGCUAACUCCGUGCCAGCAGCCGCGGUAAUUC